GAUGAACGCUGGCGGCGUGCCUAAUACAUGCAAGUCGAGCGAACGGACGAGAAGCUUGCUUCUCUGAUGUUAGCGGCGGACGGGUGAGUAACACGUGGAUAACCUACCUAUAAGACUGGGAUAACUUCGGGAAACCGGAGCUAAUACCGGAUGAUUUUUUGAACCGCCUGGUUCAAAAGUGAAAGACGGUUUUGCUGUCACUUAUAGAUGGAUCCGCGCUGCAUUAGCUAGUUGGUAAGGUAACGGCUUACCAAGGCAACGAUGCAUAGCCGACCUGAGAGGGUGAUCGGCCACACUGGAACUGAGACACGGUCCAGACUCCUACGGGAGGCAGCAGUAGGGAAUCUUCCGCAAUGGGCGAAAGCCUGACGGAGCAACGCCGCGUGAGUGAUGAAGGUCUUCGGAUCGUAAAACUCUGUUAUUAGGGAAGAACAUAUGUGUAAGUAACUGUGCACAUCUUGACGGUACCUAAUCAGAAAGCCACGGCUAACUACGUG
rnacentral:rRNA from 1 species